GCCAUUGUGACCGUUGCGUUGUGCGAACGUUCGUAGUGACGUGGCAAGCUUCCUAGGUGCUCCAGCGGCUUUGGUCACUUUUCAGCGUAUAGCCAGACCAGUUUCGCCAGCUGGGCGACGAUUCGUAUUCAGAUCCGGACGAGUCAAGAGGCACUACGAAAUGAACUCCUGCAACACGUCUCUGACCACUGAGAGGAAGAGUGAUACGCAAGUUGCCGAAUGUCGCAGCGUUAUACAGAAGCCUGCUGUAGUGCCUCUAAGCUUGGAAACUGCAUGCAGUGGUGGUCUUUCGUCCAUUGAGCCCGAGACCACCACUACAGCCGAUGAACGCCCUCUUCCUGCGAAUCAUUACCAGCCACCUUACGACUCAAAUGUUUUAUCCGUGGACAAUUCUUCAAAAACUAUCAAGCCAGAGCAGCCAUGCUUUGAGGUGGUAGAAUCGUGUGCCACCGAGAAAGGAGUUGGUGAAGAUCAACAGGA